rnacentral:rRNA from 1 species
UACGGGGGGGGCAAGCGUGUUCGGAAUUACUGGGCGUAAAGGGUGCGUAGGCGGCUUUCUAAGUUGGAUGUGAAAACUCUGGGCUCACCCAGAGCCUGCAUCCAAAACUGGAGAGCUAGGGUCUGGAGGGGAAAGCGGAAUUCCGGUGUAGCGGUGGAAUGACGUAGAUAUCAGGAGGAACACCGGUGGCGAAGGCGGCGCCUGGGCCAAUACUGACGCUGAGGUGCGAAAGCGUGGGGAGCAAACAGG